UCAUUAAAUUAAUUCAAUUAAACGUUCCUUUAUUCGGUUCUUUGAAAUUAGAUAUAAUUACCAACACGGAUACUGUGUUCAAAUCACGAUUCCCAUUGUCUGCUGUUCCAAAUAAUAUUUAAUUGCACUGUAUUAUUUGGAUACUAUUCUAUUCAAUCGUGGGUUCGAAUUACGGACAAAGUUUCUGUAAUCUCGAGGGAUGGUUUGAUGGUAUGCAAUUCAUUCGCCACAUUGUAGUCUUAACGGUAUAAAAAUUGUAUAAAACGCGUUAUUUUCUAUGCUUCGAACUGCCCGCUUUGUUUCAUCGAUCGAACGAUCCCUCGAAUAAUUCCAUAUCCACGAAGAAUUUCAAGUUAUCGUAAAGUCGUGGGGCUAUGUGACGGCAUACAUGUGUACAUUUCAUUUACUGCCCUGUAUGUACAUAUACGAAUACAAGUUACGAUUGUAUGGUGAUCUAAGUGGUAAAAUUGACUCAUAAGCGAAAUAGUGUUUGCUCUAGGUUCACUUCUGCGUGUGUGCAUAUUACGAUAUCGAUUGAUAGCGAUUAUCCAUAGACGAAAUGUAAGUCGUGACCAGUGACUAGACACACCUAAGGAUCGAUUGUAAAGGAAAAUGGAAAAAAAAAUCCCAAACUCAAACGUAGAACCGCUAGAUGUCCUAGUACGAAGAUCUUUCGAGCGAAACUUAGGUUAGAAUAAGCCAAAUCGAGAAGUCACAAAUGAUUAUUACCAGUAUUUAUUUGAAGCGCGAACUUUGGGCUUGGAAAAUAUCAGAAUGGACGAAGAAAACUCGCGUUUUUACCUGAACCUGCAAAGAACUUUAUAGUUAGCUUCCCUUGACGUCCAUGUUCAGCAGAUGUUCUAUGACUCACCAAAUUCCGACGUAAUUAAUCAGGAAAAAGACAGUUUUAGAUGAGAAGACGAGAAAAAAAAAAAAAGAAAAGACGCAGAAGGAGAAAAAGAUAUAUUGGGAGGCGAUAAAGUAUCUAUUUUUACACUUAACUGAAAAAUGCUGAAGAAAAUUGCGAAGAAAAAAAAGAAGAAAUGAUAGAUGAAAAAGAUGAUGAAAAAGGAAAGUUUCUUCUUGAUUCGAAGUAUUUGAUCGUUCGAUAGAAUUUAAAGAUUUCCCGUGACCCGAUCUUCUACGAACAAAAGAUAAUCGAUAAGAGGAAAAUGAACAUGCACGCUGAUUCGACGAACUUUGUGUGAAGUUCAUAUAUUGUAAAUUGUGCGAAGAAAUGAGAACGAUAGAGCUUUUGGGAUUUUCAGUAACGUUUAGACUCGCGAGUAGUAGAUUAUGCGAUUCUGUGUUCAAUCGAGAAAAAUAUUUGGGGUUAGGAUGUUAUCUCGACAGGUUCUUGUGAAUGCAAUUUUCGGAGGCGCUUAGAUAUUCAGAUACAAAAUACAAGAAAAUCAUUGAAUAAUGCUCCAUAAAAUCUACAUCAAUUUCGAGUAAUCGUAGUAUUUGCUUUUAAAGUGAAAAGAUUUCUAUAACCUGCGAAGUUGCGUUACGGAAAAUAUAUCGAUCAUUCCACUGAAUCUGUCGCGAGUGAAAUUUUGCACUUCGCUGUUGAUCAGAUUUCAUGGUAAUUAUAUAGUGUUCAUAUUCUAUUUGUAAAACUUCCUUCUGACUUGCAUUCACCGGACAGGAAAAACUGUAUACUGUAAGCGUGUGUCAUUUUUUCGAUUCUCAUAAGCUGACGUACUGCAGAAUAUACGAGAGGAAAAUGUAACGAGAUUCGACAUCGAUAGUAACUAACGCAACCUCGAGGAAAUUUUUUUUG